rnacentral:rRNA from 1 species
GACGAACGCUGGCGGCGUGCCUAGUACAUGCAAGUAGGACGCAGUUGCGAACGGGUGAGUAACGCGUAGGUAACUGCCUAUUAGAGGGGGAUAACUAUUGGAAACGAUAGCUAAUACCGCAUACUAGUAGAUGGACCUUCUUUGUAUUAGCUAGUAGGUAGGGUAAUGGGCUACCUAGGCGACGAGACAUAGCCGACCUGAGAGGGUGAUCGGCCACACGGGGACUGGGACACGGCCCAGACUCCUACGGGAGGCAGCAGUAGGGAAUCUUCGUCAAUGGGGUGAACCCUGACCGAGCAAAGCCGCGGGAGUGAAGAAGGUUUUCGGAUCGUAAAGCUCUGUUGUUAAGGAAGCGGUACUUAACCAGAAAGGGACGGCUAACUCCGUGCCAGCAGCCGCGGUAAUUC